GAGGUGGCUUCCGGCCGCCAGGCGAGACUCCGCGGGAAAACUCCCUGCUAGAGAGACUAGGAGAUUUGGGGCUGCGGCCGUUUCCUCCGGAGCACCCACGGGACUGUGUGCUGGGGUCCCUCCACCGGCUGUGUCCUUUAUUCUUCUUUCUCACCCAACGAUUUACCUGAACGGUUAUAAAGUGCACGUUAUUUCCCUAAGCACUUUGAGUAUAUUGGCCCACUGCAUUCUGGACUUCAAAAUUUCUGAUGCGAAAUAUGCUGAUACUUUUGUUGAAGAAAUCUGGUCCUUCUUACUGAUGUGUUGCUCUUCUUCAUGGCUCGUGAAAACUAUUAGAGUCAUCCAAGGACUGUGAAGACAACCAGAGUGGGAAGGAACCUCAGAAACCUUUGGACCAACAGAGGAAAAAGCCCAGAGGUGCAGGACAUAGAUCAAAACCAGUCGCAUGCGAGUCAUUCUAGGAUCCGGCCAAAGUUAAUUAACAGAGGGCCAUUCAGUCUCCACCGAGUCAAACAAUAAUUAGGUUAGUUAGGGUCUUUGAGCCCCAACACAGUCUAGACUCUGAGACACUGCAAUAUAACAAUAUUCUUCUGGUUUCUUCUCCAUUCCAAAUCUAUCUUCCUAAAAUACUAAAUUUUAAGAGUGAAAGUGAACUUGUGAACAUAAACAGGUAAAAUGUGGGUGUGUGUCCAGAAUGGUGACAGACAGGGAGAACUGCUGAAUAUAACUUAUCAGAACCUUACAAACUGGCCUUCCCUCAUGAUCCACCUAGGGUUUCUUUUUACUAGUCAGGUUCCACAGGAAAAUGUGAGAACUUAUACUUAGGGAAGAAAGACAUUACUCAGGUCCCUGCAAGGCUGGAAAAUGGGAAUGAUUCUCCACUUUCCCCUCCAGAUUUAAGCACUACAAAGACUGUCAACAUCUCUUGGCAUUUUGUACAGUACAGAGAGAUAGACACCCUACAUUGUGUAAUGUUUAUAUUUAAUAUCAGUGCUGCUUUCCGUCUCCAUUGAGUUCCCACAUUCAGCUCACUCACAGCGCUCCAAAGGCCUAGGAUAAGUGACCUGUGUGAAGACAUGGGGAGGCGGUUCUGGAGCACCUUCAGGUACUCCUCAGGAACUGAUGUUUUUUCACUUGUUGUUUGCCUAAGGCCAAGUUCUCUUUACCCGAAGGCAUCAUUCAGCCCCCCUUGCUAGGUAAUAAAGCACAAUAUUUUGUAGCGCUGGUCA
rnacentral:lncRNA from 1 species